UACGAAGGGGGCUAGCGUUGCUCGGAAUUACUGGGCGUAAAGGGCGCGUAGGCGGAUGUUUAAGUCGGGGGUGAAAGCCCAGGGCUCAACCCUGGAAUUGCCUUCGAUACUGGACAUCUUGAGUGCGGGAGAGGUGAGUGGAACUCCGAGUGUAGAGGUGAAAUUCGUAGAUAUUGGGAAGAACACCGGUGGCGAAGGCGGCCAACUGGACCACAACUGACGCUGAGGCGCGAAAGCGUGGGGAGCAAACAGG
rnacentral:rRNA from 1 species